ACACUGCGCUGAGCACACAGAAGGUUCACCACCGGGGAUGCUGCCACAGUCUCAGGAGUAAUUUGCAUCAAUUCGAUAAACGUCUAUCUGGAAACAUCCAAGAGUCAGGCUGAUGUACACUCUCACAAGAUUGAUGAGCCCACACACUCUUUCUCUGUGACAAUGGGGAUUCUCAGACGAAUUCCUCACCUCUGUUACUGUGAAAUCUGAGUCAGGACCGACAGCUACCAUGGAAACCUGUGGGUAUUGAACACUUAACGUCCUGGUUCGUAAAGUGAAGGUAAUUUGAAUUCAAUAUCUUUGUCUUCUCCAACUCUCAUACCUUUCUCUCCUGUAGUUGAUAAACCUUCAUUUUUUCCCCCUCCCAGAGCCACUGGUGAGAUUAUCGGUGCUGUUUGGGUUUACCUGACUACCACCAUUCCUUAGCGGGGGCAGUAGAUGAAACCCCAGAUUCCACUUGUUCUGAGACUGACCUCUGUUCUAGGUAUUAUUAUUAUU
rnacentral:lncRNA from 1 species